AUCGUAAAAUCACCUACUCGAUUGUACACCACUGCGUUCUAUACCCAGCGUAUAGAUAAGCUAAACUGUCGUAAACAUCAGUACCACAAAGAGUAUGAGGAGAAUAGAAGAAUAGCCAUUGACGCGUCCACGUUGUUGCGAUAGUUGUUACCGUAGAAUUGACAUAGUUGAACUACAUUCUCUAGGUUUAAAAGUGAAAUCUACUAAAUUUAUUUGCUUAAAAACUAACAGUGCAUCACACCUUCUGUAGCCAUAGAGUGAUAAGCACUUGAUCCGUAUAUCGAAUUGCUAACGGAGAAAAGGUGACACAGGAAUUCAAAUACACUCGGGAACCGCAGGUUAUAGAUUGCCCCACAAGUAAUCAAUAUUCGGCAGUAACCACAUUAAAGGGAUAACGUACAUAAGUGCAGAGGUUCCCAAUCCAUUUAGACUGGACCAGGAGAAAAUUGCGAGAGAGUCAAUUCCAGCUAGAUCACU